GUGUCAGCCGCCGCGGUAAUACGGGGGGGGCUAGCGUUGUUCGGAAUUACUGGGCGUAAAGGGCUCGUAGGUGGCCAACUAAGUCAUGCGUGAAAUCCCUCGGCUUAACCGGGGAACUGCGUCUGAUACUGGAUGGCUUGAAUCCGGGAGAGGGAUGCGGAAUUCCAGGUGUAGCGGUGAAAUGCGUAGAUAUCUGGAGGAACACCGGUGGCGAAGGCGGCAUCCUGGACCGGCAUUGACACUGAGGAGCGAAAGCCAGGGGAGCAAACGGGAUUAGAAACCCCUGUAGUCC
rnacentral:rRNA from 1 species